rnacentral:lncRNA from 1 species
GGACUCGGUGCGGAGCCGGGGCGCCGAGUGUCUCCGUGUCCCUCUGCCCCAGCCGGCGGCCGCGAUGGUGGAGCUUGGCCUCUCGCUCUCUCCCGCCUCUCCAGCGACUGCUCUGCCGGCCGCGGAGGUCGGAUCGAGCGGUCAUUCAUUCAUUUGUUAAUUCGUUCACUUAUUCAGGGGAGAUCAUUGAACCCCUACGGAGUACCGGGUACUGGGCCGGGCGCUGAGGACGCGGGGCUGAGCAAAAGCAGCCGAGGCCCACCUUCGUGCCCCUUAAAACCCAGCGUGCGGGGCGGCAACGAGUACUGCUUUUCUGUUUUGCACUUAAAAUUUACAUUUUGCAUCCGUACUUUUUAUUUACUGUGCACCCUUACGGCAUGCUUUACGCACCCGUACCUGCACCUCCUAGCCUUGAGUGUAGACACCAGAUCCUGAGAUGGGCGAUUUUUCGAGAAUAAUUUUUACCCUAAGUGGAUUUUCGUGCCACGCAUGGACUUGGAACUACACACACGUAGUCCAAAACGUGAAAGUCAAAAUGCAGCUUUGCCAAGUGGCAGGGAGAAAGGAGAGCUGAGAAGAUGAGGAGAGGAAGGGCGCGCUCCAGGCUUUCCAGCCCGGGUGCGGUAGACGUAGCCCUGAAGGAUGAACCCAGGCUGGUAGUAGGGCGGCGGGAGGGCGGGGGGACCUGUCAGUCAAGUCCAAAGCAGAAACGCGGCGCCGGAUCCCAGUCAGAGGCCGGCUGGAACGCUUCCCACAGGCUCCUGGCGCUCCGGUCCCCACCAGGCGACCUUGAUCCUGGCGUGCUCAGCGGAGCCAGCGCAGCGUCGGGAGCUGGAGAGACGCGGGGCGCCGGCUGAGCGCUCCUGCCCUCUGCCUCUGGGCUAGCCUCUGGCCCGGCCUCCCGGCCUCCCCCAGGGUACGCUCUCCCCCAAGAGCGAACACCAGCUUUGGGAUCGCCAGCAGCCACGUCUCUGCUUCUAGAUCUCUUUUUUUUUUCUUUGAGACUUAGUUGAUAGCUGUUUAAGGAAUUAUGUGGAGGAAAUCUCACCUCCGACCCCCGCCCCCGUUGAGCACGGCCGGCCAGGGUCGCUGGGUGGGCCAGGAGGAAAGAAAGGGGCGGGGAAGAAGCAGCAAUUUUACUUUAAAUUAAAAUGACACAAAAAUAUUUUUUCAACUCAGAUCUUUCUGAGACAUCCCCAGAAAGCGUUGCAAGCUGUGAUUACACCUAAUGUGAGAGCAUGAACUAAUUUAAGAGGUGAGAGCUGCAUAAUGAGGCUGCCUCCCGUGUAGCAGCCAAGACUGGCAGCUCUGGCGGCGCGCUGGAGGGGACCGGGAGGGGCACCCUUGUAGAACCAGUCCCUGGCGCCCUGGGAUCUUCUCAGUGCCCUGGCGCUGUGUUGUCGGUCACUCCACAGAUAUUACAGGGUGCCUCCUGAAUGCCGGGUUGCAAUCAAGAGCAAGAGAUGGGGCGAGUGAAAGAGCCUGUUUUCAGGAGCUCAGCAUCAGGAUGACGAUUACCUAGAGGGAGGUGGUGGCCAGCCUCCCCCUCUUCUCUUCAUGCUGAGGCUCUGGUGGGCAGUGCCCAAGCCUGAACUGCCAUCUGUAUGCCAGUGGUUACCCAACUUGUAUUUUCAGUCUUAGCCUCUCUCUGGUCCAGACUUGUCAUUCUAAGGGCCCUUUUUCACUGACUCACAUUGUCUCCUCCCUCCCUGCCUUCCAAACUCAGCCUUUUCCUUUUUCCCUUUCCCACUGACAACAGCUGCACGACCCCCCCGCCCCCCCACGAGGUGAAAAUUCCCAAGAACCCCAUGUCUAACCUAACUCCCUCUCUAUGUCCUGUUGCUUGAGCCAUUCUCAUUAGGCUGCCUGUUCGGAGUUCAUUAUCUCCUAAUUUUUCAUCCAGGAAUUGAUGAAGAAUCACCUACUGCCUCUCCCACACACUGUUUAUUCUUUCAUUUGAUGAUAUCUGUUAAGUGCCCUGAGAUAUGUAACCUCCACUUCCCUCCCAUAUAAGUGAGAUUUCACGUUGAUUACUUCCUUGGCUUUCCUCAUCCCUUAUCCACAUAGCAUGUGUUCAAAAUAAUGAAUAUUAAUUUAAUGUUAAUAGAUAUGUGCUUUCCUGAAUUGUGAGGAUUAAAUGAAAUCAUGUAUAUAGGGAGGAAAAUCCAUUAGAAACCUCAAAAGCAGUUAUGUUUAUUUUUGCUAUUGUCACAUUGUUAGAGUCAGAAUUCUUUUAGCUGCAAGUGACAAAACCAACUCAAACUGGCUUAAGGACUUUAUUGGUUGAUGCAAAAAGCCUCGGGUUAGGUCUUGCCAUUUAAGGUAGGGCUGGAUCCAUCAAUCCGGGUUACCAGGAUCUGUUUUCUAGUUGUGGCUUCAUUUUCAGACAAGUUGUUUCCAUAUGAUAGCCUCAUAGAAGGUACUACCAGCUUAGUCCUAGCAAGAAAAAAGAGUACUUACUCUUCAAUAUUUGCAGCAGAAGUCCCAGGUCUGUUCUUAUGAGGGCAGUUUGAGUCACUUGCUCUUCUCUGAACGUGGAGAAGGCACUGUUUAGAUGAUGGAGGUUGGAUUCAGGUGCAUCCCCUGGAAUGGGGUUUGGCAUUAGCUUCACGUGGUCUAGAAUAAAGGGGUUCUCCAAAGGAAAAUUAGGGUAGGAAUGCUGAGUAAGCAGAACAAACAGAUGUCUACUUUAGUCCUUCCCAAAGGGUGAGCUGCAAUACAUUGCAGACUAUCAGAAUGGUGAUGAACACGGAUGCAGUAGCCAAGAAAAUAGAUGUGUGUUUGUCGUGGUCUUUUUCAGUCUUCAAGAUCUCAGUUAAACAUGAAGUCAACCACUCACUAUGAUGUUAUUUGAGGUUUAGCUUUGAAGUGGAAAUGUACCACAAAUAGUAGAGCCAGAUAAAUACAAAUAAAUAAUUUUAACAGUCCAUUCUAAAAGAUUUCUUUGGUAAUAUUCUGUUGGAAUUGAUUUCUAUCUUUUCAUUUGUUAGGUUCCUGGAAAGUGAAAAUUUCAUUUCUUUGUGGACAGGUACCUAAAAUGUCUCAUUAUUCAUCAAUUAAUGAAAAACAAAUGAAAAUUUGAGAGAGAUAUUCUGAAGAAUAAAAGGAUCAAGUUGGGUCAUUUCUAAAAUGUAAGAUUAUAAGGUUUAACUUGCUAAGACUUUUGAGGGGUUGAAUUAUUGGUAAAUUAUUAUAGAACCACUUAUCUGAGGCUUUUAAAAGUGAUGUGUUACAGAGAUUUAGGGAACUGCAAGAUUGCAGAUAAAGAAUUUAUACUGUCAACUGUUCUAUACUUUACCUUCUGCUUUAAAUGCGGCCUUAUAUUUUGAAGUCAAACAUUUAUUUUCUCUCACUGCGUUCUGAAUUUCCUACCACAGUGCAUUUUGAGAAAUGAAUAUAACAGCAGUCUUCAUAGAUGCCAUAUUCAUGGCAACUCUGUCCCCCGCCAACACCACACCCUGGAAAAAAACCAACUUUCUAUUGUUGGAAUGAGGUAACAUUUUCAGGAAAAGGGAACCAUUUUCUCACAGGAUAUAGAACAAAUUCAACCUUUUAUUAAAUCAAAAUGGAUUCUCUAAUGUUUAUACAUAUCAUAUAGGAUUUCAUCUCUUUCAAUCUUGGUUCAAAGGCCCAGACAGUACCAUUCCCUAGUAUUUAGUCCAUUUGCUCAUAAAGCAGAAGAGAAAAGCUACUUUGUUCCGAAGGGUGUUAGAUUUAGGAUUCCAAGGUUAUUUCAAAUUAAUGCCUGGAACUAGACUAUAAAAUGCAGGAAAGAUUCUAAGUUGUUCAAAGAUGAAAUAUCUUAACUUUCACCAAAAACUCUGUCUUCUGGGUAUUUUUUGUUUUUCUGCCUUUCCAGAUUUAUUUUAAAUACAACAUUUUUGCUGUUUACAUUUUUAAAAGUUACAUUUCAAAAUUGUUCAUAAUUGGACACUUUCAUAAAAUGUAGGCAAAUGCAGUUUUACUUUUUAAUGAAGGACAAGUCUGUUGAUAACAUUUUGAUUCUUAAAAUUUUUUUUAUCUUAUAAAAAUGAAACAAUGCAUUUAAAGUGUCUUCAGCUCUUAUGUUAAUACCAAAUUAUACAUUUUCUUAGCCCAUGUUCAGGAGAGACAAUAUAUCUUCCAAAUUAAGAGAAGCUGGCACCAUUUUUAAAACAAGGCCUUGAAUCUGCUGUGGUAUGUGCUGGUAGGAAUUUUGUAUGAAGCUGUUAUUGAAGUAGAUGACAUUAAGGUCAAAGGAAAAAAAAAACAGAAAAUAAUGUAAUCCUACAGAGCUGCUCUUAAGAUCUUGAGAGAAAAACCACGUAGGUAACAUCAAACACUAGUUGGAAUCUUUCCAAGAAGUAAUUAUCUGUGUGCUGUUUGUGGUGGUUGAUUAUGGGAACAAACCAAGGUUUAGCCAAUUCAGCAAACAUUUAUGGAGUGCCUGCAAUGUGCAUGUCACUGUUUUAAGGCCUGUGCCUACUGUAAAGGUGACCCACACAUGAUGCCUGCCUUGCAGGACUUGGAGUUCAGCGAUAAUAAGAGAUGCAUACCUGAAAAGCCUAUUUAAGACUCUUCCGGUUCUACAAAGAAGGCUUCUUGAAAGUGGUAGCUUUGAUUACUCUUUGGAUUUAUUUACAUUUAUCCUAUAAUCAGAAGGUAUACAAAACAGACUCACACAUAUAUAAAAUUAAUAGAUUAGAUAGCAUUUAAACAAAUAUUUCAGGUAGGUACUUCAAAUGCAUUUGACAUUUAUCAAAGAAAUGGUAAGUGCUGUCAUCCGUGGGUGGCUGGAUUAACAUGUGGGACUACUUAUCACCAAUUUUGUUAGGGAUCUUAGGGAAAUUCCUGGAUCUUAUAUUCACAAGCAAUUGUAUAAAUACUUCCCACAGCUCAGAGACCUAAUAGGAUGGGGUCUUAGAGAAACAUCUUUUGAGCCACAGACUUCUUUGUUACCAGAAGGAAAAUGAAAGAAGAAAUUUAAAUACCACUUGAAGAGAGGUGAGAACCCUUUGUUAAGCUGUGUAACCUCUGUGCAUAGUUUCCUCAUCAGCAAAGUCAGAAAAAGUAUGUACCUGAAGGACUGAUUGUAAGGCUGGGAUGAGAGAAUCCAUGUGAUCAGCCCUCACCAACAGGUGCUGCCCAGUUCAUGAGUGCUGCUGCUGUCCUGCCCAAGUACCCAGCUUGCAGAGUGCCAGAGUUAGAGUCCCAGGGGUGUUCUCCACAGCUGCAUGCUUGAUCCAGGCCUAUCAGAUAUAUUCCAUUGAAAGUCCUCAUUCUCAAAUUUAAAACAAAGACUUUUUGUGUACCUCAAUAGCAAUGCACACACAGUUGGCUUCACAAACAUAUUGUACAUUUCUUUUUUUCAUAUUUAUUCAACAAAUGUAUAUUGACUACCCACCGUGUGACAGGUGUUAUUUGUUGACGGAACCAGGCAUCAUCAGCAAACAAAACUGACAAAGCUUCCUGCCCUCUGUGGAAGGCAUCUGAGGAAGAGACUGGAUUUUGUAGCAACAUGUUAUUCUCAUUAUAAACUUUAUCAUUGGAAUACUAAAGCCAAAUCAUCCCCCAUCUCCUUGAUCAGGAUACCCACUUAAUCUAGGCAGCUACACAAUUGUGAGAGCCUUUGUUUUUUUCUGCUGAAACAUCCUUAAAAAGAUACCUCACAACCCAAGAUUUGGCUUUUCUUAAAUACGAUUUUUAAUUUUUUUCAUUUCUAUCUAGAGAUUUAAUUGGAAAUGGAAAAUCAUCAAUUUUCCAAUUAAAUGUCUGUUCCAAUCAACAUUAUACCUUUUAGGUUGUCAUUGUCAUUUUUAAGUUUAAGCAACUUUAAGGAUUUUGAAUCUGGCUGCCUGUAAAUUAAAGGUGAAAGUAAUCA